CGAACGCUGGCGGCGUGCUAACACAUGCAAGUCGAACGCGAAAGGGACUUCGGUCCUGAGUAAAGUGGCGCACGGGUGAGUAACGCGUAGAUAACCUGUCUUCAUGUCUGGAAUAAUACGCCGAAAGGGGUACUAAUACCGGAUAUUCUUGCUUUUCAUAAGUUAUGCAAGCAAAGGUGGCCUCUGCAUAUGCUACUGCAUGAAGAGGGGUCUGCGUACCAUUAGCUAGUAGGUGGGGUAAUGGCCUACCUAGGCGACGAUGGUUAGCGGGUCUGAGAGGAUGAUCCGCCACACUGGCACUGGAACACGGGCCAGACUCCUACGGGAGGCAGCAGUGAGGAAUAUUGCGCAAUGGGGGAAACCCUGACGCAGCGACGCCGCGUGAGUGAGGAAGGCCUUCGGGUCGUAAAGCUCUGUCAAGAGGAAAGAAGUGUACAAUGGCUAAUACCUGUUGUAUUUGACGGUACCUCUAAAGGAAGCACCGGCUAACUCCGUGCCAGCCGCCGC
rnacentral:rRNA from 1 species